rnacentral:rRNA from 1 species
AGCGAACGCUGGCGGCAGGCCUAACACAUGCAAGUCGAACGAAGUCUUCGGACUUAGUGGCGGACGGGUGAGUAACAGGUGGGAACGUGCCUUUAGGUUCGGAAUAACUCAGGGAAACUUGUGCUAAUACCGAAUGUGCCCUUCGGGGGAAAGAUUUAUCGCCUUUAGAGCGGCCCGCGUCUGGUUAGCUAGUUGGUGAGGUAAAGGCUCACCAAGGCUACGAUCAGUAGCUGGUCUGAGAGGAUGACCAGCCACAUUGGGACUGAGACACGGCCCAAACUCCUACGGGGGGCAGCAGUGGGGAAUCUUGCGCAAUGGGCGAAAGCCUGACGCAGCCAUGCCGCGUGGAUGAUGAAGGUCUUAGGAUUGUAAAAUCCUUUCACCGGUGAAGAUAAUGACUGUAGCCGGAGAAGAAGCCCCGGCUAACUUCGUGCCAGCCGCCGCCGUAAGAC